GGUAGUAAAAGUCGUAACAAGGUUUCCGUAGGUGAACCUGCGGAAGGAUCAUUAUUGGAUUUUGAAACUUCAGGCUGCUGCUGGCUCUCCUCGGAGGGCAUGUGCACGCUUGUUGUCCAUUAUUUCUCCCACUGUGCACAAAUUGUAGACCUUUCAGUAGGCCUAUGUUGUUUUUCACAAUCUCUGAAUGUAAUAGAAUGGUUUUGAAUCUUGGGAAAUACAAUACAACUUUCAGCAACGGAUCUCUUGGCUCUC
rnacentral:misc_RNA from 1 species